GACCCGGUAGCACAACUGGCUAGUGCGCCCUGAAUCAACGGGUCCACAUGAAGCUUUCUCAGGGCGAUCCUUGUUCGAAUCAAGGGUGGGUUA